AUGGCUCAAAGCCCACGCAGCACCACUGGUGGGAGAGCCCUCACCAUGCAUUGGCAAGCGGAGGCCGGCACCUCACAUCUGAAGCGCCGAGUUCCUCCCAUCCAGAUGCAGAGGGAGUCACGUUCCCACAGUUUUGUGCAUCUUGGGACUACAUCGAAGGGACACCCACUUUCUAUCGCACAGCUUGGGCGCCCAGCCCUGACCGCGGUCACCUCCACAAGCUCCGGGCUCACCCUCCCUGCUGCCCUCCCCUUCACCUGUGCUGGGAACCUGCGGCGCAGGAGCCGCUGGGAGGAUGAGGAGGAAGUGAGGGCCGAGAACUCUGGGCAAGAAGGCCCUGGGGAGCAGAGCCGGGAAACUGCCUCAAAGUGCAUGAAGCUGGCAGUGCAAGUAAAUGCACACAAGUGCAUGCAGACAGUGAGGAAGGGCCGUUUGUCUGGCCGCUCUUCCUGCCCUGACAUGGGACUCCUGGACCCGCUGGGGCUGGACUCCCGCACCCCCACCGCCAGUGAGGACAACGGCCGCCCCAGCACUGACCCCGACUACAGGCUGGGCAUAGAGCGUGGCCAGUUUCCUCUGAUGCUGGGGAGACUGGAGCAGGAAGGCCGCAGUCGCCCCUCACCUCUGCUUCCUCCCGGAUCCCCCGCGUGGGAUUCCCUUUCAGAGUACCGCCCUUUCACUUUCCAGACAGCUUGUCAGCAGGCCAGCUCUACCCUCCUAACAGGAAGCAAGAACCCCUUGUCUUCCCAUGCAACAGAGCUGGGCCCCCACACACCCCCAGCACUGCUGUACCAGGACCCCGAGCCUUACUGCACCACCCUCCGUGCUGUCAGUCACGUCCAGGCAGCCAGUGAGAGCUCGUCCCCUCCAAAUCUCUUCCCCCUGGUGUCCUGUGAGAGCCCCCUGUCCGAAGAGAGCCUGGUGGCCAUGGGCUGCCUGGCCCAGGACUUCCUGCCCGGCUCCAUCACCUUCUCCUGGAACUACAAGAACAGCAGUGACGUGAGCACCAGGGACAUCAAGACCUUCCCCUCGGUCCUGCGGGGGGGCAAGUACGUGGCCACCUCCCAGGUGCUCCUGGCCUCCGUGGACGUGCUCCAGGGCUCCGAUGACUUCCUCACGUGCCAAGUUCAGCACGCCAACGGCAACAAGGUCGUGAAAGUGCCCCUGUCAGCGCCCGCAGAGCUGCCCCCCAGUGUGGACGUCUUCAUCCCGCCCCGGGACGCCUUCUCCAGCAACAGCCAGCGCACGUCCAGGCUCAUCUGCCAGGCCACAGGCUUCAGCCCCAGGCACAUCUCCGUGUCCUGGCUGCAAGACGGGAAGCGGCUGGAGUCUGGGGCCACCACGGACAACGUGGAAGCCGAGACUAAGGGGUCAGGGCCCGUGACCUUCAAGGUCACCAGCACGCUGACCAUCACCGAGACUGCCUGGCUCAGUCAGAGCACAUUCACCUGCCGCGUGGAGCACAGUGGGCUCACCUUCCAGAAGAACGUGUCCUCCUUGUGCGGCAGCGGUCCAAACACUGGCAUCCAGGUCUUCGCCAUUCCCCCUUCCUUCGCCAGCAUCUUCCUCACCAAGUCGGCCAAGCUGUCCUGCCUGGUCACAAACCUGGCCACCUAUGACAGUCUGGCCAUCUCCUGGACCGGCCAGGACGGCAAGCCCCUGAAAACCCACACCAACAUUUCCGAGAGCCACCCCAACACCACCUUCAGCGCCACGGGCGAGGCCACCAUCUGCGUGGAGGAUUGGGAGUCGGGCGACGAAUUCACGUGCACAGUGACGCACACGGACCUGCCCUCGCCGCGGAAGCAGACCGUCUCCAGGCCCAAGGAGGUCGCCAAGCACACGCCCUCGGUCUACGUGCUCCCGCCCACCCAGGAGCAGCUGAAACUGCGGGAGUCGGCCUCCGUCACCUGCCUGGUGACGGGCUUCUCCCCACCGGACGUGUUUGUGCAGUGGCUGCAGAAAGGGCAGCCCGUCCCCUCCCACAAGUAUGUGACCAGCGCCCCGACCCCCGAGCCCCAGGCCCCGGGCCUCUACUUCGCGCACAGCAUCCUGACAGUGAGUGAGGAGGACUGGAGCGCCGGGGAGACCUACACCUGCGUCGUGGGCCACGAGGCGCUGCCCCACACGGUGACCGAGAGGACCGUGGACAAGACCACCGAGGGCGAGGUGAGCGCCGAGGAGGAGGGCUUCGAGAACCUGAGCACCAUGGCGUCCACCUUCAUCGUCCUGUUCCUCCUCAGCCUGUUCUACAGCACCACCGUCACCCUGUUCAAGGUGAAAUGACCCACCAUGGAAGACUCCCGGAGGCCACAGAGGCGGAACCACGCAGGGCACCUGUGGGCCCGGGGUCCCCUGCCCGUGUGGCCGGUCGGCUUGUACGUAAACUUUCCCCAUGUCACCCUGCAUGGGACGCUCUAAGAAACAGCUUCUUUCCAUGGCCCGAUGCUGUGGGUGGUGGGGACCCUGCAGCCCCGGGCUCUGCCCCCGCAGAUGCACACACUUUGCAUCGUACGCACGUUCCCCCUUGAAAUAAAUGUGUACAUUUUAUCUUGCGAA